rnacentral:rRNA from 1 species
UGGGGAAUAUUGCACAAUGGGCGCAAGCCUGAUGCAGCAACGCCGCGUGAGGGACGACGGCCUUCGGGUUGUAAACCUCUUUUAGUAGGGAAGAAGCGAAAGUGACGGUACCUGCAGAAAAAGCACCGGCUAACUACGUGCCAGCAGCCGCGGUAAUACGUAGGGUGCGAGCGUUGUCCGGAAUUAUUGGGCGUAAAGAGCUCGUAGGCGGUCUGUCGCGUCUGCUGUGAAAACCCGAGGCUCAACCUCGGGCCCUGCAGUGGGUACGGGCAGACUAGAGUGCGGUAGGGGAGAAUGGAAUUCCUGGUGUAGCGGUGGAAUGCGCAGAUAUCAGGAGGAACACCGAUGGCGAAGGCAGUUCUCUGGGCCCGUAACUGACGCUGAGGAGCGAAAGCGUGGGGAGCGAACAGGAUUAGAUACCCUGGUAGUCCACGCCGUAAACGUUGGGCGCUAGAUGUGGGGCACCAUUCCACGGUUUCCGUGUCGCAGCUAACGCAUU